AGAACCUGCAGUGUAAUGACACUAGUUAAGUCCAGGCCUUUUCGGGAAAAGCAAGGGAAGAUACUGCCGAAAGGUCGCAGGCUCAUUGCAGACGAUCUGAAGGCUGGAGCUGUGCUGAAAGUUUUCUUCUCUAGCCAUCUAUAAUACAUAAAGAAGCUGCUCAUCGAUAAGCUGAAGGGUGUCAGCUUCAUUAAGAUGAAAUUCGAGGACAUCAAGGAUUGGUCCAACCUAGUAAUGCCACGAGAAUAAUGGGGAUUUUUGCCAAACCUGACCAUGCUAACAUGACAUAUCCAAAGACUCAGCUUUAGCACUCACUGCCUUUAUUAUUGAUUUGUGACAAUCUCUGCGACCCUGGGAACCUGGGGACAAUUCUGAGAUCUCCAGCUGGGGAAGGCUGCAGCAAAGUGUUACUCACUUUGAAAGGAUGUGUGGAUGCCUGGGAGCCCAAAGUGCUACAGGCGGGUAUGGGUGCACAUUUCCAAGUGCCCAUUAUCGAUAAUCUGAAAACGAAACAGUGCCAAAUUACCUGCCCCCUGACACCCAGGUCUGUGUGGCUGACAACUGAAGCCUUUAUGCUCAGGCUCAGAUGUCUAAUAAAGCCAGUGACCAUGGCUGGGUGUAGGAUUGGCGAUUCCUGAAGUUUCACAAGUAUGAAGAAAAGCAAGGUCUAGAAACUGGAGCCAGUAAAGGUUUGCUGCCUGUUAUUGAGGUUCAGAGUUAUGACUUGGACUGGACAGAGGCACCAGCAGCUGUAAUGGUUGGUGGCGUGACCUACGGCAUGAUCCUGGAAUCUCUGUAGUUUGCCGAGAGCCCUGCGGGCAAGAGGCUGCUGAUCCCUGUUGCACCUGGAGUGGACAGCCUCAACUCAGCCAUGGCUGCACGCAUCCUGUUUUUUGAAGGGAAAAGACAACUGCGGGUGAGGGCGGAACACUUGAGCAGGGACAGGAGUUA
rnacentral:lncRNA from 1 species